AGCUAAACCGAUGGGGAAUACACCACGUAUGCUUGAAAGAAGCAUUAUAUUGAGGUUGAGAGAUUUGUGACAGACUUCAUAGUUGUAAGGUUUCAGACUUGGGAUAAGUUGAGAUGCAGCUAUUAGAUUGAACCCUGCCAAAAAGGGGUUUUCAGGUGGUUGAUCCUCAAAUGGCCGAACAAUACUAACAUUUGAUGCAAAAGGACAAAAACAAGCACAAAUAUGAGGAUGAAAUGUAUGCUUAAAUGUAAAUUAUUGAACAAUAUUUUGCAAGUUAACAUGUUUCUCAAAUGAUAA